rnacentral:rRNA from 1 species
UACAGAGGGUGCAAGCGUUAAUCGGAUUUACUGGGCGUAAAGGGCGCGUAGGUGGUUGUUUAAGUGAGAUGUGAAAGCCCCGGGCUCAACCUGGGAACUGCAUCUUAUACUGGGCAACUGGAGUACAUGAGAGGGUAGUGGAAUUUCCGGUGUAGCGGUGAAAUGCGUAGAUAUCGGAAGGAACACCAGUGGCGAAGGCGGCUACCUGGCAUGAUACUGACACUGAGGCGCGAGAGCGUGGGGAGCAAACAGG